AUUGAACGCUGGCGGCAGGCCUAACACAUGCAAGUCGAGCGGAUGAAGGGAGCUUGCUCCUGGAUUCAGCGGCGGACGGGUGAGUAAUGCCUAGGAAUCUGCCUGGUAGUGGGGGAUAACGUCCGGAAACGGGCGCUAAUACCGCAUACGUCCUGAGGGAGAAAGUGGGGGAUCUUCGGACCUCACGCUAUCAGAUGAGCCUAGGUCGGAUUAGCUAGUUGGUGGGGUAAAGGCCUACCAAGGCGACGAUCCGUAACUGGUCUGAGAGGAUGAUCUGUCACACUGGAACUGAGACACGGUCCAGACUCCUACGGGAGGCAGCAGUGGGGAAUAUUGGACAAUGGGCGAAAGCCUGAUCCAGCCAUGCCGCGUGUGUGAAGAAGGUCUUCGGAUUGUAAAGCACUUUAAGUUGGGAGGAAGGGCAGUAAGUUAAUACCUUGCUGUUUUGACGUUACCAACAGAAUAGGCACCGGCUAACUUCGUG
rnacentral:rRNA from 1 species